rnacentral:rRNA from 1 species
AGUGAACGCUGGCGGUAGGCCUAACACAUGCAAGUCGAACGGCAGCACAGUAAGAGCUUGCUCUUACGGGUGGCGAGUGGCGGACGGGUGAGGAAUACAUCGGAAUCUACUUUUUCGUGGGGGAUAACGUAGGGAAACUUACGCUAAUACCGCAUACGACCUACGGGUGAAAGCAGGGGAUCUUCGGACCUUGCGCGAUUGAAUGAGCCGAUGUCGGAUUAGCUAGUUGGCGGGGUAAAGGCCCACCAAGGCGACGAUCCGUAGCUGGUCUGAGAGGAUGAUCAGCCACACUGGAACUGAGAAACGGUCCAGACUCCUACGGGAGGCAGCAGUGGGGAAUAUUGGACAAUGGGCGCAAGCCUGAUCCAGCCAUACCGCGUGGGUGAAGAAGGCCUUCGGGUUGUAAAGCCCUUUUGUUGGGAAAGAAGAGCAGCAGGUUAAUACCCCGCUGUUCUGACGGUACCCAAAGAAUAAGCACCGGCUAACUUCGUG